rnacentral:rRNA from 1 species
UACGUAGGGUGCAAGCGUUAAUCGGAAUUACUGGGCGUAAAGCGUGCGCAGGCGGUGAUGUAAGACAGGUGUGAAAUCCCCGGGCUUAACCUGGGAACUGCGUUUGAAACUGGAAGGCUAGAGUGUGGCAGAGGGGGGUGGAAUUCCACGUGUAGCAGUGAAAUGCGUAGAUAUGUGGAGGAACACCGAUGGCGAAGGCAGCCCCCUGGGCUAACACUGACGCUCAUGCACGAAAGCGUGGGGAGCAAACAGG